CAGCUUGACUGCGAGCGUGACGGCGCGAGAAGGUGCGAAAGCAGGUCAUAGUGAACCGGUGGUUCUGAAGAGAAGGGCCAGCGCUCAACGGAUAAAAGGAAGUCCGGGGAUAACAGGCUGAGACCGCCCAAGAGUUCAUAUCGACGGCGGUGUGUGGCACCACGAUGUGGGCUCAUCACAUCCUGGGGCUGAAGUAGGUCCCAAGGGUAUGGCUGUGCGCCAUUUAAAGUGGUACGCGAGCUGGGUUUAGAACGUCGUGAGAAAGUUCGGUCCCUAUCUGCU
rnacentral:rRNA from 1 species